GCUCCCAUGGCGUAGUGGUCACUGCGCUCGCCUUGCACACGGGAAACCCGAGUUCGAUUCCCGGCGGGGUCA
rnacentral:tRNA from 1 species